rnacentral:rRNA from 1 species
GACAGAGGGGGCAAGCGUUGCUCGGAAUUACUGGGCGUAAAGGGCGCGUAGGCGGAAUGGCAAGUCGGUCGUGAAAUCCUUCGGCUCAACCGAAGAACGUCGAUCGAAACUGCCGUUCUUGAGGAUUGCAGAGGAGACUGGAAUUCCCGGUGUAGCGGUGAAAUGUGUAGAGAUCGAGAGGAACACCAGUGGCGAAGGCGAGUCCCUGGACAACACCUGACACUGAGGCACGAAAGCGUGGGGAGCGAACAGG